rnacentral:rRNA from 1 species
UACGUAGGGGGCUAGCGUUGUCCGGAAUCAUUGGGCGUAAAGCGCGUGUAGGCGGUCCGGUAAGUCCGCUGUGAAAGUCGAGGGCUCAACCCUCGAAAGCCGGUGGAUACUGUCGGGCUUGAGUACGGGAGAGGCGAGUGGAAUUCCUGGUGUAGCGGUGAAAUGCGCAGAUAUCAGGAGGAACACCGAUUGCGAAGGCAGCUCGCUGGAACGUUACUGACGCUGAGACGCGAAAGCGUGGGUAGCGAACAGG